rnacentral:rRNA from 1 species
UACGGAGGAUCCAAGCGUUAUCCGGAUUUAUUGGGUUUAAAGGGUGCGUAGGUGGCCUGUUAAGUCAGGGGUGAAAGACGGUAGCUCAACUAUCGCAGUGCCCUUGAUACUGAUGGGCUUGAAUGAACUAGAGGUAGGCGGAAUGUGACAAGUAGCGGUGAAGUGCAUAGAUAUGUCGCAGAACACCAAUUGCGAAGGCAGCUUACUAUGGUUUUAUUGACACUGAGGCACGAAAGCGUGGGGAUCAAACAGG